UGUUUUUUAUGUUUAAUUAGUGUUUUUGCCAAGUAGAACCGUUGGGAAGACUUGGGGAAAGUCUUGUUGAACUUGCUGUAAAAAACAGAAACUUUAGCGCUCACGAGAACUGCUGUCAUUUUUAUUUUAAGAGUGCUACUUAGUUAAUUAUUUUUGCAGAUGAUUAUUAGAUAAAUUACUCACGUCCAUCAAUUUAUUUUAGAAUUUUUGGGGUUCCAGAUCUUGCGCUAGCUAUAGAUUACUACAGACUGUUCUGUUUUUGACAGAUUCUGUUUUUCGUGUGUUGUUUGCUUAUUUUGAUGAAUCUAUGGCUAGUAAAAUAGUUUAUAAUCCAUAGAUAAGUUGGAAUACAGUAGGUUUAACACCAAUAUAAAUAAAUAAUGAGUUCAUUACAGUACCUUAAAGUGGUCUUUUGUUUUCUUUCGCUAACGAAGCUCAUGAGUUUUCUAUUUUGAGUUUUGUGUUGUGAAGUUUUCAAGUUUUGUGUGAUUUCUUUUGAUGGAUCAUGGAACAAGGAGUGGCAAGAGCCUACGCUUGGGGAUGACCAUGGCACCCCCAAGAUAAUCCAAGGACACCAAAAAGUCAAAGCUAGGGGAUGCCCCGGAAGGCAUCCCCUCUUUCGUCCACUUCCAUCGGUAAUUUACUUGGAGCUAUAUUUUUAUUCACCAACAUGAUAUGUGUUUUGCUUGGAGCGUCUUGUAUUAUUUGUGUCUUUGUGUCUUAGUAUGCCACAAUCAUCCUUGCUGUACACACCUUUUGAGAGAGCCAUACAUGAAUUAAAAUUUGAUAGAAUACUCUAUGUGCUUCACUUAUAUCUUUUGAGCUAAGUAGUUUUGCUCUAUGUGCUUCACUUAUAUCUUUUGAGCUAGAUAGUUUUGCUCUAUGUGCUUCACUUAUAUCUUUUGAGUGUUAUAAUUUUGCUCUAUGUGCUUCACUUAGAUCAUUUAGAGCACGGUGGUGGAUUUGUUUUAAAGAAACUAUUGAUCUCUCAUGCUUCACUUAAAUUAUUUUGAGAGUCUCUUAAUAGCAUGGUAAUUUGCUUAAUAAUAAUAUGCUUGGUAUUCAAGAUUUGUGAAACUUUCUUUUGAGUGUGUUGAAUACUAAGAAAAGAUUGAAGCAUGAUAAUUGUUUUGAGAUAUGGAGGUGAUAAUAUUAAAGUCAUGCUAGUUGAGUAGUUGUGAAUUUAAAGAAUACUUGUGUUAAGGUUUGUGAUUCCCGUAGCAUGCACGUAUGGUGAACCGUUAUGUAACGAAGUCAGAGCAUGAUUUAUUUAUUGAUUGUCUUCCUUAUGAGUGGCGGUCGGGGACGAGUGAUGGUCUUUUCCUACCAAUCUACCCCCCUAGGAGCAUGCGCACAAUACUUUGCUUUGAUAACUUCAAGAUUUUUGCAAUAAGUAUAUGAGUUCUUUAUGACUAAUGUUGAGUCCAUGGAUUAUACGCACUCUCACCCUUCCACCUUUGCUAGCCUCUCUAAUACAGCGCACCUUUCGCCGGUAUCAUACACCUACCAUAUACCUUCCUCAAAACAGCCACCAUACCUACCUAUUAUGGCAUUUCCAUAGCCAUUCCGAGAUAUAUUGCCAUGCAACUUUCCACCACCUAGUUCAUCAUGACACAUUCAUCAUUGUCAUAUUGCUUAGCAUGAUCAUGUAGUUGACAUAGUAUUUGUGGCAAAGCCACCGUUCAUAAUUUCUUCAUACAUGUCACUCUUGAUUAAUUGCAUAUCCCGGUACACCGCCGGAGGCAUCCAUAUAGAGUCAUACUUUGUUUUAGAAUCGAGUUGUAAUCAUUGAGUUGUAAAUAAAUAAAAGUGUGAUGAUCAUCAUUCAAUAGAGCAUUGUCCCAAUAAAAAAAGAGAAAGGCCAAAAAAAGAAGCCCCCCCCCAAAAAAAUAAAAAUAAAAAGGGUCAAUGCUACUAUCCUUUUACCACACUUGUGCUUCAAAGUAGCACCAUGAUAUAGCGAGUCUCAUAUAUUGUGCUUCAAAGUAGCACCAUGUUCUUCAUAUAGAGAGUCUCAUAUGUUGUCACUUUCAUAUACUAGUGGGAAUUUUACAUUAUAGAACUUGGCUUGUAUAUUCCAAUAAUGGGCUUCCUCAAAUUGCCUUAGGUCUUCGUGAGCAAGCAAGUUGGAUGCACACCCACUAGUUUCUUUUGUUGAGCUUUCAUACAUUUAUAGCUCUAGUGCAUCCGUUGCAUGGAAAUCCCUACUCACUCACAUUGAUAUCUAUUGAUGGGCAUCUCCAUAGCCCAUUGAUACGCCUAGUUGAUGUGAGACUAUCUUCCCCUCCUUUUUGUCUUCUCCACAACCACCAUUCUAUUCCACCUAUAGUGCUAUAUCCAUGGCUCACGCUCAUGUAUUGCGUGAAGAUUGAAAAAGUUUUGAAAAAGUUAGAAUAUGAAACAAUUGCUUGGCUUGUCAUCGGGGUUGUGCAUGAUUUGAAUACUUUGUGUGGUGAAGAUGGAGCAUAUCCAAACUAUAUGAUUUUGUAGGGAUAACUUUCUUUGGCCAUGUUAUUUUGAGAAGACAUAUUUGCUUUAUUAGUAUGCUUGAAGUAUUAUUAUUUUUAUGUCAAUAUAAACUUUUGUCUUGAAUCUUUCUAAUCUGAAUAUUCAUACCACAAUUAAGAAGAUUUGCAUUGAAAUUAUGCCAAGUAGCACUCCGCAUCAAAAAUUCUCUUUUUAUCAUUUACCUACUCGAGGACGAGCAGGAAUUAAGCUUGGGGAUGCCUGAUGCGUCUCCAACGUAUCUAUAAUUUUUGAUUGCUUCAUGCUAUAUUAUCUACUGUUUUGGACUAUAUUGGGCUUUAUUUCCCACUUUUAUAUUAUUUUUGGGACUAACCUAUUAACCGGAGGCCCAGCCCAGAAUUGCUGUUUUUUGCCUAUUUUAGUGUUUCAGAUAAACGGAAUAUCAAAUGGAGUCUAAACAGAAUAAAAUCUUCGGGAAUGUGAUUUUCUCACCGAACGUGAUCUAGGAGACUUGGACCCUGCUCCAAGGAACAAAAGAGGCGGUCACGAGGGUGGGGGGCGCCCCCCCUAGGGCGCGCCCCCUGCCUCGUGGGCCCCUCGUUGCUCCUCCGGCAUACUUCUUCCUCCUAUAUAUACACACGUACAACCAAACGAUCAGAACAGGAGCCAAAAACCUAAUUCCACCGCCGCAACUUUCUGUAUCCACGAGAUCCCAUCUUGGGGCCUGUUCCGAAGCUCUGCCGGAAGACGACCGUCAUCAUGGAGGGCUUCUAUAUCAUCCUAGCCCCUCCGAUGAAGUGUGAGUAGUUUACCUCAGACCUUUGGGUCCAUAGUUAGUAGCUAGAUGGCUUCUUCUCUCUCUUUGAAUCUCAAUACAAAGUUCUCCCCCUGUCUUGUGGAGAUCUAUUCGAUGUAAUCUUCUUUUUGCGGUGUGUUUGUUGAGACCGAUGAAUUGUGGGUUUAUGAUCAAGUCUAUCUAUGAAUAAUAUUUGAAUCUUCUCUGUCUUACGUAUGAUUGGUUAUCUUUGCAAGUCUCUUCGAAUUAUCCGUUUGGUUUGGCCAACUAGAUUGGUAGUUCUUGCCAUGGGAGAAGUGCUUAGCUUUGGGUUCGAUCUUGCGGUGUCCUUACCCAGUGACAGAAGGGGCAGCAAGGCACGUAUUGUAUCGUUGCCAUCGAGGAUAACAAGAUGGGUUUUAUUUCAUAUUGCAUGAAUUUAUCUCUCUACAUCAUGUCAUCUUGCUUAAGGCGUUGCUCUGUUUUUAACUUAAUACUCCAGGUGUAUGCUGGAUAGCGGUCGAUGAGUGGAGUAAUAGUAGUAGAUGCAGAAUCGUUUCGAUCUACUUGUCAUGGACGUGAUGCCUAUAUACAUGAUCAUGCCUAGAUAUUCUCAUAACUAUGCUCAAUUCUGUCAAUUGCUCAACAGUAAUUUGUUCACCCACCGUAGAAUACUUAUGCUCUCGAGAGAAACCACUAGUGAAACCUAUGGCCCCCGGGUCUAUUCUCAUCAUAUCAAUCUCCAUCACUUUAAUCUUGCUUUGCUUUUUUACUUUGCUUUUACUUUUUACUUUGCAUCUUUAUACCAAAAUACCAAAAAUAUUAUAUCUAUUAGAUCUCACUCUCGUAAGUGACCGUGACAGGAUUGACAACCCCUAAUCACGUUGUUUGCGAGUAGCUAUCGCUUUGUGCAGGUACGAGGGACUUGAGCGUGGGCUCCUACUGGAUUGAUACCUUGGUUAUCAAAAACUGAGGGAAAUGCUUACGCUACUCUGCUGCAUCAUCCCUUCCUCUUCAGCGAAAACCAACGCAAGCUCAAGACGUAGAACAUGUGUGAAUACAUAGACAAAUAGAGUGUCCCUAGUAUGCCUCUACUAGACUAGCUCAUUAAUCAAAGAUGGUUAAGUUUCCUGACCAUAGACAUGUGUUAUCAUUUGAUGAACGGGAUCACAUCAUUAGAGAAUGAUGUGAUGGACAAGACCCAUCCAUUAGCUUAGCAUUAUGAUCGUUUAGCUUAUUGCUAUUGCUUUCUUCAUGACUUAUACAUGUUCCUAUGACUAUGAGAUUAUGCAACUCCUGAAUAAAGGAGGAACACUUAGUGUGCUAUCAAACGUCACAACGUAACUGGGUGAUUAUAAAGAUGCUCUACAGGUGUCCCCGAUGGUGUUUGUUGAGUUGGCAUAGAUCGAGAUAGGAUUUGUCACUCCGUGUAUCGGAGAGGUAUCUCUGGGCCCUCUCGGUAAUGCACAUCACUAUGAGCCUUGCAAGCAAUGUGACUAAUGAGUUAACCACGGUAUAAUGCAUUACGGAACGAGUAAAGAGACUUGCUGGUAACGAGAUUGAAUUAGGUAUGAUGAUAACAACGAUCGAAUCUCGGGCAAGUAACAUACCGAUGACAAAGGGAACAAUGUAUUUUGUUAUGCGGUUUGAUCGAUAAAGAUCUUCGUAGAAUAUGUAGGAGCCAAUAUGAGCAUCUAGGUUCCGUUAUUGGUUAUUGACCGGAGAUGUGUCUUGGUCAUGUCUACAUAGUUCUCGAACCCAUAGGGUCCACACACUUAACGUUUGAUGACAAUCUGUAUUAUGAGCUAUGUGAUUUGAUGACUGAAGUUUUUUCGGAGUCCCGGAUGAGAUCACGGACAUGACAAGUAGUCUCAAAAUGGUUGAGACAUAAAUAUUCAUAUAUUGGAAGGUUACAUUCGGACACCGGAAUGGUUCGGGUCGUUUCGGAGUACCGGGGGUUAUUGGAACCCCCUCGGGAAGUUAUUGGGCCUCAUCGGCCUAGUGGUGGAGGAGAGAAGGCCGGCCAGGGAGUGGCGUGCGCCCCCCUAGCCUUUCUUUCUCUCCUCCUCGUCCUUCCCUCCUUCUCCUACUAGGCAUAGGAAAGAGGAGGGGAAUCCUACUUGGACUGGGGAGUCCUAGUAGGAUUCCCCACACCUAGCACGCCCCCUUUGGCCGGCCACCUCUUCCCUCCCCUCCUUUAUAUACGUGGCCAGGGAGCACCCCGUAGACAUACAAGUUGAUCUUUUAGCCGUGUGCAGUGCCUUCCUCCACAGUUACACACCUCGGUCAUAUCGUCGUAAUGCUUAGGCGAAGCCCUGCGCCGGUAACUUCAGCAUCACCGAUGCCACGCCGUCGUGCUGACGAAACUCUCCCUCGACCCUCUACGGGAUCAAGAGUUCGAGGGACGUCAUUGAGCUGAACGUGUGCUGAACUCGGAGGUGUCGUACGUUCGGUACUUGAUCAGUUGGAUCGCGAAGACGUUCGACUAAAUCAACUGCGUUAACAUAACGCUUCCGCUUUCGGUCUACGAGGGUACGUGGACACACUCUCCCUCUCUCAUUGCUAUGCAUCCCAUAGAUAGAUCUUGUGUGAUCGUAGGAAUUCUUUUAAAAUACUGCCUUCCCCAAUAGUGGCAUCCGAGCCAGGUCUAUGCGUAGAUGUUAUAUGCAGGAGUAGAACACAAAGAGUUGUGUGCGAUAAUAGUCAUACUGCUUACCAGCAACGUCUUACUUUGAUUCAGCGGUAUUGUUGGGUGAAGCGGCCCAGACCGACAUUACAUGACCGCAUUCAUGAGACUGGUUCUACCGAUGUGCUUCGGACACAGGUGGCUAGUGGGUGUCUGUUUAUCCAACUUUAGUUAAAUCGAGUUUGACUAUGCACGGUCCUUGUUGAAGGUUAAAACAGCACACUUGACGAAAAAUCGUUGUGGUUUUGAUGUGUAGGUAAGAACGGUUCUUGCUAAAGCCCGUAACAGCCACGUAAAACUUGCAACAACAAAGUAAAGGACGUCUAACUUGUUUUUGCAGGGCAUGUUGUGAUGUGAUAUGGUCAAGACGUGAUGAGAUAUAAAUUGUUGUAUGAGAUUAUCAUGUUUUGUUAAAGUUAUCGGCAACUGGCAAGCGCCUUAUGGUUGUCUCUUUAUUGCAUAAGAUGCAAGUGCCAUAUAAUUGCUUUACUUUAUCGCUAUGCAAUAGCAAUAGUUGCAAAAUCAAUAGUUGGCGAGACGACCAUGUGACGACACGUUGAUAAAGAUCAAGAUGAUGGAGAUCAUGGUGUCAUGCCAGUGACGAUGGAGAUCAUGACGGUACUUUUGAGAUGGAGAUUAAAGGCACAAGAUGAUGAUGGCCAUAUCAUGUCACAUAUUUUGAUUGCAUGUGAUGUUUAUAUUUUAUGCAUCUUAUUUUGCUUAGUACGACAGUAGCAUUAUGAGAUGAUCCCUUACUAAAAUUUCAAGGUAUAGGUGUUCUCCCUGAGUAUGCACCGUUGCGACAGUUCUUCAUGCUGAGACACCACGUGAUGAUCGGGUGUGAUAAGCUCUACGUUCACAUACAACGGGUGCAGGCCAGUUUUGCACAUGCAGAAUACUCGGGUUAAACUUGACAGCCUAGCAUAUGCAGAUAUGGCCUCGGAACACUGAGACCGAAAGGUCGAACAUGAAUCAUAUAGUAGAUAUGAUCAACAUAGUGAUGUUCACCAUUGAAAGCUACUCCAUCUCACAUGAUGAUCGUACAUCGUUUAGUUGAUAUGGAUCACGUGAUCAUUUAGAUGACUAGAGGGAUGUCUAUCUAAGUGGGAGUUCUUCAGUAAUAUGAUUAAUUGAACUUAAAUUUAUCAUGAACUUAGUCCUGAUAGUAUUUGCAUAUCUAUGUUGUAGAUCAAUUGCUCGCGUAUAGCUUCCCCGUUUUAUUUAUGACAUGUUCCUAGAGAAAACUAAGUUGAAAGUUGAUAGUAGCAAUGAUGCAGACUAGGUCCGUGAUCUGAGGAUUAUCCUCAUUGCUGCACAAAAGAAUUAUGUCCUUGAUGCACCGCUAGGUGACAGAACUAUUGCAGGAGCAAAUGUAGACGUUAUGAACGUUUGACAAGCUCGGUAUGAUGACUGCUUGAUAGUUUAGUGCACCAUGCUUUACGGCUUAUAUAACAUCCCAAAUUUUCAAUUUGGAAUGUUAUACACUAGAUCAUCAUUGCAUAUCAUAUUUAUUGCAUUUUGGUUGAUCCUAGAAAUUUUUCGCAACUCAAGGACCCUCGGAGAGAGUUGGGGAUUUCGUUAUUUUCAUAUUUGAGUUGUCUCAAAUUUUGAAAAUAGGAUCAUUUGAUUUUAUUUAUUUUAUCUUCAAUUAUUUCUAUUACAAAAAAUUAUGAGAGAGGGAAUAAAAUGACUUUCCCAAAAUAAAGAAAUAUUGAGGAUUUAAUAAAAAAAUCAUUUAAGAUUUUAUUUGGUUUUAUUUGCUAUUUUAUUUGAAUUUAGGAAAAUGCGCGUUUUUUAGAAUUGCAUUUAGGCCCCAAAUAAAUGUGCAUCCUGUGCGGCUUGAUUUUAGAAGCCGGGGAAAUUUUAUUUCGGAAUUUUUGGAGUCCGUUUAGUAGUCCUUUUCUUUUUUUUUCGAGCGUAAAUAUAUAAAAAUAAAAUAAUAAUAAAAACGUCCGAACCGACCUACGGGCCAUGCUAGGUCCGGACUCCUCCGGCCUCAGCCCUUAUAAACCGCCGACCCACCCCGGGCCGAAACCCUAGCCGCCGCCCGCCUCGAGCCCCGCGCCCGCGCCGCCGCCGCCCCGCCGGACCCCACCGCUGCCCCUCGCCGCCUUGCUGGAGCCGCCGCCGCCCGUCUCGCCGCCGAGUCACCGAGGUUGACCCGCCGGUUUUCAUUCGGUUUUUUGUUUCUGUUUUUUCUUUAGAUCUGUUUUUUUCUCGGUUUAGGCUAAUUAGCGAGCGUUCGCUCGUUCGUUCAUUUUAACGAACGCGUUCUUCGUUUAGAUCCAGUUAACGAACGUUCAUUCGUUAAAUUGUUCGUCAUUUUUCUUUUUCUCGGAUUAAAUCCGCGAUUUUUCAGAUCGCGAUUUCUGAUCCGAUUUUCGUUUUAGUCUAACUUUUCGCUCGUUUAUCGGAAUCAGGCGAUUCAAGCACCUGGAGUUUCGUCUCGAAACCCUCUUUCCGUUUAGCCAACCUAAACAAGUUUUUGCCACCGUAAAAAUUUCCUUAGAUCCAGAAUAGUAAACGAAGCCUUUUUUUGCCGUUUGUCUUCCGUUGCUUCGUUCGAUUUGAUUCUUUUUGCCAACCGGAGUUCUUAAGUUGAACUUUCUGGUUAGAUCUCUUAUUUGAGUUUUACCUGUGCAUUAGUUGAGUACUUAUUGUAUACUUGUUUGUUUGCGAUAGAGUACCCGGAGUGCGCCGCUUGCUACUUCGAAUCGCUAGGUUUCCCGGACCAUCAGCAAGGCAAGUAACACUUUGAUCAUGUUUUUCCCUCUACCCAGUUUUAUUGCAUUAGAUCAAUCCUUACACAUUGCAUGAUUAGGAUCUAAUUAAAUUGUGGGUUUGGGAAGUAGUUGAGGUAGUACCUAUUACCUGUUAUUAUCAAACUUUUGGGAGUUACUUCUACGUUUGCUUAUUAUGCCAUGCUAUGCUAGUAGACGUGGAUUGGGUGAGUGUAUCCAUGACAGAUGUGAGAUUGUUAAUUAAUGGUUUAUCUAAGGUGGCAACUUAAAUACACAUCUGGGUGGAUUGAGGCAUCUGGGUAUUCCAGCGAUUGCCUGUUUUUCUUUAUGGACCACCACCCAGGCUCAAAGGGAUCGUGAGAUUAUUCAUGCUAGAAACUUCCGUGUGCAGCCACAAGCUAUUAUGGGCUCUAGCAUAGUUGAAUAAGUUGUGUGAACUCUUACAGUGGUAGACUAGCAGAUGUAGGGGAUGUAGGUUGGUACGGUCUACCCGUUCGUAAGGUGCAAGCGCUUCUGAAAGACUAUGUCUCGGUCAUCCAUUUCUCAAACACCUUGUAGUGCGAGAAAUCCAACGGAGGAGAUCGAGUCUUGUGGGGAAAAGUGCGCAAACCUCUGCAGAGUAUAUAAACUAAUCAUGAUUAGCCGUGUCCCCGAUUAUGGACAUCUUGAGUAUCUAGUACCUGGAUUAUCAUGUGAAUCUCAACAUGUUACUCUAAAUUAAUUUUGGAUGGGUUUGUUUAAUGAUGAUGCUUAAUUGGGAUUGAGAAUGCUGUCAACCAUUCUCAAUGUUUAACAACCACCAUGAUAGUUAAAUAAAUUUAUUCCUUUGCAGUAGGAAAAAUUGGCUUUACGCAAAACUGUAACCAUAAGGCUUUCCACCAGCCAAAUAUGCAUAUAGAAUAGCUGUUUCAUUCCAUUACUCUCUAUGUGUUACUUUGCCAGCAUAUUCCAUGUGCUGACCCAUUUCGGGCUGCAACGUUAAUGUUGCAGACUUUUCAGACGACGAUUAAGGAGUUUUAGGUUGUGGUCCUAUACUUAGUGAUGCCGUUGGAGUUGAUGGACUCACUUAUCUUCCAAUCCUUCCGCUGUUAUCGUUAUUAGAUGGCCUUACGCCAUAUUUAUUGUAAUAAGUUCUCUUUUGAGACACUCGAUGUAAUAAGUGUGUGAGUGCUACUCUGUUAUAAAUCCUUCAAGUACUGUGUGGUGUCAGCAUUACUGAUCCAGGGAUGACACCUGAACACAGAGAUUGGACCGUUUGAGGUCUGGUCGCAACAGCUUACAACCGGGACUUCAAAAAAAAUUGAAACGCCAUGGAGCAUAUAAGAUGUUCCAAGAGUUGAAAUUGGUAUUUCAGAUUCAUGCCCGAGUCGAGAGGUAUGAGACCUCUGACAUGUAUUUUUGCCUACAAGAUGGAGGAGAAUAGCUCGACUAGUGAGCAUGUGCUUAGAAUGUCUGAGUACUAUAAUAGCUUGAAUCAAGUGGGAGUUAAUCUUCUAGAUAAGAUAGUGAUUGACAGAGUUCUCUAGUCACUAUCACCAAAGUUACUGGAACUUCAUGAUGAACUAUAAUAUGCAAGGGAUGACGAAAACGAUUCCCGAGCUCUUCGCGAUGCUGAAAUCGGCGAAGGUAGAAAUCAAGAAAAGCAUCAAGUGUUGAUGGUUGACAAGACCACUAGUUUCAAGUAAAAGGGUGAGGGAAAGAAAGUGAACUUCAAGAAGAAUGACAAGCAACUUGCCACUCCCAUGAAGAAGCCCAAAGCCAGACCCAAGCCUGAAACUGAGUGCUUCUACUGCAAAGGAAAUGGUCACUAGAAGCGGAACUACCCCAAAUACUUGGCGGAUAAUAAGGAUGGCAAAAGUGAACAAAAGUAUAUAUGAUAUACAUGUUAUUUAUGUGUACUUUACUAGUGUUCAUAGUAGCCCCUGGGUACUUGACACUGGUUCAGUUACUAUGAUUAGUAACUCGAAACAGGAGUUACAAAAUGAACAAAGACUAGUUGAGGGCGAGGUGACGAUGUGUGUUGGAAAUGAUUCCAAGGUUGAUAAGAUCACCAUCGCAUACUCCCUCUACCUUCGGGAUUAGUAUUGGAACUAAAUAAAUGUUAUUUGGUGUUUGCCUUGAGCAUAAAUAUGAUUGGAUCAUGUUUAUUGCGAUACGGUUAUUCAUUUAUGUCAGAGAAUAAUUAUUGUUCUAUUUACAUGAAUAGAACCUUCUAUGGUCUUACAUCCAGUGAAAAUGGUUUACUGAAUCUCGAUCACAGUGAUACACAUAAUAUUGAUGCCAAAAGAUGCAAAGUUAAUAAUGAUAGUGCAACUUAUUUGUGGUACUGCUGUUUAGGUCAUAUUGGUGUAAAGUGCAUGAAGAAACUCCAUGCUGAUGGGUGAUACGUCUCUGUCGUAUCUACUUUUCCAAACACUUUUGCCCUUAUUUUGUACUCUAACUUGUAUGAUUUGAAAGGAACUAACCCGGACUGACGUUGUUUUCAGCAGAAUUACCAUGAUGUUGUUUUAUGUGCAGAAAACAAAUAUUCUCGGAAUGACCUGAAACUCCACGGGAGGUCUUAGAAAAAAUAAUAAAAAAUCCUCGCCAAAUAUGAAGACCAGGGGGCCCACACCCUUCUCACGAGGGUGGGGCACGCCCCCUACCUCGUGGGCCCCCUGUUGACCCUCCGACGCCAACUCCAACUCUAUAUCUUUGCUUUCGGAGAGAAAAAAAUCAGAGAGAAGAAAUCAUCGCAUUUUACGAUACGAAGCCGCUGCAAAGCCCUAAAACCUCUCGGGAGGGCUGAUCUGGAGUUCGUUCGGGGCUCCGGAGAGGGGGAUUCCUCGCCGUCGUCAUCAUCAACCAUCCUCCAUCACCAAUUUCAUGAUGCUCACCGCCGUGCGUGAGUAAUUCCAUCGUAGGCUUGCUGGACGGUGAUGGGUUGGAUGAGAUUUAUCAUGUAAUCAAGUUAGUUUUGUUUAGGUUUGAUCCCUAGUAUCCAUUAUGUUCUGAGAUUGAUGUUGCUAUGACUUUGCUGUGCUUAAUGCUUGUCACUAGGGCCCGAGUGCCAUGAUUUCAGAUCUGAACCUAUUAUGUUUUCAUGAAUAUAUGUGAGUUCUUGCUCCUAUCUUGCAAGUCUAUAGUCACCUAUUAUGUGUUAUGAUCCGGCAACCCCGAAGUGACAAUAAUCGGGACCACUCGCGGUGAUGACCAUAGUUUGAGGAGUUCAUGUAUUCACUAUGUGCUAAUGCUUUGUUUCGGUUCUCUAUUAAAAGGAGGCCUUAAUAUCCCUUAGUUUCCAAUAGGACCCCGCUGCCACGGGAGGGUAGGACAAAAGAUGUCAUGCAAGUUCUCUUCCAUAAGCACGUAUGACUAUAUACGGAAUACAUGCCUACAUUACAUUGAUGAAUUGGAGCUAGUUCUGUGUCACCCUAUGUUAUGACUGUUACAUGAUGAACCACAUCUGGCAUAAUUAUCCAUCACUGAUCCGGUGCCUACGAGUUUUCCAUAUACUGGUUUACGCUUAUUUACUUUUCUGUAGCUACUGUUACAAUCACUACAAAAUACCAAAAACAUUACGUUUUCUAUCUUUACUUUUGUUGCCGCUACCACCACUAUCAUAUUACUUUGCUACUAAACACUUUGCUGCAGAUACUAAGUUUCCAGGUGUGGUUGAAUUGACAACUCAGCUGCUAAUACUUGAGAAUAUUCUUUGGCUCCCCUUGUGUCGAAUCAAUAAAUUUGGGUUGAAUACUCUACCCUUGAAAGCUGUUGCGAUCCCCUAUACUUGUGGGUUAUCAAUGGGCUUUUGGAAUCACUUGAUGCUUGUGAAUCAUCCCUCAUGGGCAACAUGACUAGAACUCCGUUCUCCGGAACAAUGGAGCGAGCCACUGACUUAUUAGAAAUAAUACAUACUAAUGUAUGAUGUCCGAUGAGUGUUGAGGCUCGCGGCGGGUAUCGUUAUUUUCUGACCUUCAUAGAUGAUUUAAGCAGAUAUGGGUAUAUCUACUUAAUGAAACACAAGUCUGAAACAUUUGAAAAGUUAAAAAAAAUCAGAGUGAAGCUGAGAAUCAUCGUAACAAGAAAAUAAAGUUUCUACGAUCUGAUCGCGGAAACAAAUAUUUGAGUUACGAGUUUGGCCAUCAUUUAAAACAAUGUGGAAUAGUUUCACAACUCAUGCCACCUCGAACACCACAGAGUAAUGGUGUGUCUGAAUGUCGUAACCGUACUUUAUUAGAUAUGGUGUGAUCUAUGAUGUCUCUUAACGAUUUACCACUAUCAUUUUGGGGUUAUGCAUUAGAGACAGCUGCAUUCAUGUUAAAUAGGGCACCGUCUAAAUCCGUUGAGACGACACCGUAUGAACUAUGGUUUGCCAAGAAACCUAAGUUGUCGUUUCUUAAAGUUUGGGAUUGUGAUGCUUAUGUAAAAAAACUUCAACUUGAUAAGCUCGAACCCAAAUUGGAGAAAUGCGUCUUCAUAGGAUACCCAAAGGAAACUGUUGGGUACACCUUCUAUCAUAGAUUCGAAGGCAAGAUAUUCAUUGCUAAUAAUGGAUCCUUUCCGGAGAAGGAGUUUCUCUCGAAAGAAGUAAGUGGGUGGAAAGUAGAACUUGAUGAGGUAAUUGUACCUGCUCCCGAAUUGGAAAGUAGUUCAUCACAGAAACCAGUUCCAGUUAUUCCUACACCAAUUAGUGAGGAAGCUAAUGAUGAUGAUCAUGAAACUUCAGAUCAAGUUACUACUGAACCUCAUAGGUCAACCAGAGUAUGGUCCGCACCAGAGUGGUACAGUAAUCCUUUCUAGAAGUCAUGUUACUAGACCAUGACGAACCUACGAACUAUGAGGAAGCAAUGAUGAGCCCAGAUUCCGCGAAAUGGCUUAAGGCCAUGAAAUCUGAGAUGGGAUCCAUGUAUGAGAAUGAAGUAUGGACUUUGAUUGACUUGCCCGAUGAUCGGCGAGCCAUUGAGAUUAAAUGGAUCUUCAAGAGGAAGACCGACGCUGAUAGUAGUGUUACUAUCUACAAAGCUCGAAUUGUCGCGAAAGGUUUUCGACAAGUUCAAGGUGUUGACUACGAUGAGAGUUUCUCACUCGUAUCUAUGUUUAAAGUCUGUCCGAAUCAUGUUAGCAAUUGCCACAUUUUAUGAAAUUUGGCAAAUGGAUGUCUGAUACAUCUCCAACGUAUCUAUAAUUUUUGAUUGUUCCAUGCUAUUAUAUUAUCUGUUUUGGAUGUUUAAUGGGCUUUACUAAGCACUUUUAUAUUAUUUUUGGGACUAACCUACUAACCAAAGGCCCAGUGCAAAUUGCUGUUUUUUGCCUAUUUCAGUGUUUUGCUGCAAAGGAAUAUGAAACGGAAUCCAAACGGAAUGAAACCUUCGUGAGAGUUAUUUUUGGAACAAACGUGAUCGAGGGGACUUGGGGUGGGCGUCAAGAAAGAAGCGAGAAGGCCACGAGGCAGGAGGGCGCGCUUGCCCCCUAGGCGCGCCCCACCCUCGUGGGCCCCUCAUAGCUCCACCGACCUAGUUCUUCCUCCUAUAUAUAUAUCCAUAUACCCUGAAAACAUCCAGGAGCACCACGAAACCCUAUUUCCACCGCCGCAACCUUCUGUACCCGUGAGAUCCCAUCUUGGGGCCUUUUCCGGAGCUCCGCCGGAGGGGGAAUUGAUCACGGAGGGCUUCUACAUCAACACCAUAGCCUCUUCGAUGAUGUGUGAGUAGUUUACCACAGACCUUCGGGUCCAUAGUUAUUAGCCAGAUGGCGUCUUCUCUCUCUCUUUGGAUCUCAAUACAAAGUUCUCCUCGAUUCUCUUGGAGAUCUAUUCGAUGUAAUUCUUUUUGUGGUGUGUUUGUCGAGAUCUGAUGAAUUGUGGGUUUAUGAUCAAGAUUAUCUAUGAACAAUAUUUGGUUCUUCUUUGAAUUCUUAUAUGUAUGAUUUAAUUAUCUUUGCAAGUCUCUUCGAAUUAUCAGUUUGGUUUGGCCUACUAGAUUGAUCUUUCUUGCAAUGGGAGAAGUGCUUAGCUUUGGGUUCAAUUUUGCGGUGUUCUUCCCCUGUGACAGCAGGGGCAGCAAGGCACGUAUUGUAUUGUGGCCAUCGGGGAUAAAAAGAUGGGGUUUAUAUCAUAUUGCUUGAGUUUAUCCCUCUACAUCAUGUCAUCUUGCCUAAUGCGUUACUCUGUUCUUAUGAACUUAAUACUCUAGAUGCAUGCUGGAUAGCGGUCGAUGUGUGGAGUAAUAGUAGUAGAUGAAGAAUCAUUUCAGUCUACUUGUGACAGACGUGAUGCCUAUAUACAUGAUCAUGCCUAGAUAUUCUCAUAACUAUGCACUUUUCUAUUAAUUGCUCGACAAUAAUUCAUUCACCCACCGUAAAUUAUGCUAUCUUGAGAGAAGCCACUAGUGAAACCUAUGGCCCCCGGGUCUAUCUUCCAUCAUAUUACUUUCCUAUGAAUUUACUAUUUCCGCUAUCUUUUAUUUUGCAAUCUUUAUUUUCCAUUCUACUCCCUCCAUUCCUUUAUGUAAGGUGUAUUAUUUUCGGCACGGUGACCAAGGCACAAAAUUGUAGACAUGUUAAGACCAAAUUACCCUUGGCAAAUUUGUUGGUUAGUGGCAAGUAAAUUAUUUAGUCUAGGAAAGUAAGAGAUACAUGCAAUCGACAAAGAGAUACUUUCCUUCUUUUGCUACAAGGAGAGAUACAGACAAUCAGGAAAUAGAUACUUUCCUUUUUUCUAGAGGGCUAGCAAGGGAAUUAUAAGGAAUUACAAGAAAUGUACCUUACAUUGUGAAAUUUUAUCAAAACACAAAUACACCAUAUAUAAAGGAAUGGAGGGAGUAUAUCAUAAAAAACCAAAAAUAUUUAUCUUAUUAUCUCUAUCAGAUCUCACUUUUUCAAGUGGUCGUGAAGGGAUGGACAACCCCUUUAUCGCGUUGGUUGCAAGGUUCUUAUUUGUUUGUGUAGGUACGAGGCGACUUGUGUGUGGUCUCUUACUGGAUUGAUACCUUGGUUCUCAAAAACUGAGGGAAAUACUUACGCUGCUUUGCUGCAUCACCCUUUCCUCUUCAAGGGAAAACCAACACAUGCUCAAGAGGUAGCAAUGUCAAAACUACAUUCCUUAAUGGAUCUCUUAAAGAAGAGUUGUAUAUGAUGCAACCAGAAGGUUUUGUCAAUCCAAAAGGUGCUAACAAAGUGUGUAAGCUCCAGUGAUCCAUUUAUGGACUGGUGCAAACAACUCGGAGUUGGAAUGUACGCUUUGAUAGUGUGAUCAAAGCAUAUGGGUUUAUACAGACUUUUGGAAAAGCCUGUAUUUACAAGAAAGUGAGUGGGAGCUCUAUAGCAUUUCUGAUAUUAUAUGUGGAUGACAUAUUGUUGAUUGGAAAUAAUACAGAAUUUGUAGAUAGCAUAAAAGGAUACUUGAAUCAGAAUUGUUCAAUAAAAGACCUCAGUGAAGCUACUUACAUAUUGGGCAUCAAGAUCCAUAAAGAUAGAUCAAGACACUUGAUAAGACUUUCGAUGAGUACAUACCUUGAUAAGAUUUUGAAGGAGUUCUAAAUGGAUCAGUCAAAGAAGGAGUUCUUGCCUGAGUUGUAAGGUGUAAAGUCGAGUAAAGACUCAAAACCCAACCACAACAGAAAAUAGAAAGAGGAUGAAAGUCAUUCCCUAUGCCUCAAUCAUAGGUUCUAUAAAGUAUGAUAUGCUGUAUACCAGACCUAUUGUUUACCUCACCAUGAGCUUGGCAAGAGGGUACAAUAGUGAUCCAGGAGUGGAUCACUGGAUAGCAGUCAAAACUAUCCCGAGUGGAAUAAGGAUAUGUUUCUCGGUUAUGGUGGUGACAAAGAGUUCGUCGUAAAGAGUUAUGUCGAUGCAAGCUUUAAACCGAUCUGGUUGACUCUGAGUCUCAAUCUGGAUACAUAUUAAAAGUGGGAGCAAUUAGCUAGAGUAGCUCCAUGCAGAGCAUUGUAGACAUAGAAAUUUGUAAAAUACAUACAGAUCUGAAUGUGGCAGACCCGUUGACUAAACUUCUCUCACAAGAAAAACAUGAUCACAUCUUAGUACUCUUUGGGUGUUAAUCACAUGGAGAUGUGAACUAGAUUAUUGACUCUAGUGCAAGUGGGAGACUGAAGAAAAUAUGCCCUAGAGGCAAUAAUAAAGUUGUUAUUUAUAUUUCCUUAUAUCAUGAUAAAUGUUUUUUAUUCAUGAUAGAAUAGUAUUAACCGGAAACUUAGUACAUGUGUGAAUACAUAGACAAACAGAGUGUCCCUAGUAUGCCUUUACUAGACUAGCUCAUUAAUCAAAGAUGGUUAAGUUACCUGACCAUAGACAUGUGUUGUCAUUUGAUGAACGGGAUCACAUCAUUAGAGAAUGAUGUGAUGGACAAGACCCAUCCGUUAGCUUAGCACUAUGAUUGUUUCGUUUAUUUGUAUUGCUUUCUUCAUGACUUAUACAUGUUCCUAUGACUAUGAGAUUAUGCAACCCCCGAAUACCGGAGGAACACUUAGUGUGCUAUCAAAUGUCACAACAUAACUGUGUGAUUAUAAAUAUGCUCUAGAGGUGUCCCCGACGGUGUUUGUUGAGUUGGCAUAGAUCGAGAUUAGGAUUUGUCACUCCGUGUAUCAGAGAGGUAUCUAGGCCCUCUUGGUAAUGCACAUCACUAUGAGCCUUGCAAGCAAUGUGUAUAAUGAGUUAAUCACGGGAUAAUGCAUUACGGAACGAGUAAAGAGACUUGCCGGUAACGAGAUUGAACUAGGUAUAAUGAUACCGAUGAUCGAAUCUCCGGCAAGUAACAUACCGAUGACAAAGGGAACAACGUAUGUUGUUAUGCAGUUUGACCGAUAAAGAUCUUCGUAGAAUAUGUAGGAGCCAAUAUGAGCAUCCAGGUUCUGCUAUUGGUUAUUGACCGGAGAUGUGUCUCGGUCAUGUCUACAUAGUUCUCGAACCCGUAGGGUCCGCACGCUUAACAUUCGAUGACGAUUUGUAUUGUGAGUUAUGUGAUUUGAUGAUCGAAGUUUGUUCGGAGUCCCAGAUGAGAUCACGGACAUGACGAGGAGUCUCGAAAUGGUCAAGACAUAAAGAUUCAUAUACUGAAAGGUUACAUUCGGACACCGGAAUGGUUCGGGUCGNNNNNNNNNNNNNNNNNNNNNNNNNNNNNNNNNNNNNNNNNNNNNNNNNNNNNNNNNNNNNNNNNNNNNNNNNNNNNNNNNNNNNNNNNNNNNNNNNNNNNNNNNNNNNNNNNNNNNNNNNNNNNNNNNNNNNNNNNNNNNNNNNNNNNNNNNNNNNNNNNNNNNNNNNNNNNNNNNNNNNNNNNNNNNNNNNNNNNNNNNNNNNNNNNNNNNNNNNNNNNNNNNNNNNNNNNNNNNNNNNNNNNNNNNNNNNNNNNNNNNNNNNNNNNNNNNNNNNNNNNNNNNNNNNNNNNNNNNNNNNNNNNNNNNNNNNNNNNNNNNNNNNNNNNNNNNNNNNNNNNUCCUUCCCUCGUUCUCCUACUAGGAAUAAGAAAGAGGAGGGGAAUCCUACUUGGACUAGGGAGUCCUAGUAGGAUUCCCCACACCUUGCGCGCCCCCCUUGGGCCGGCCACCUCUUCCCUCCCCUCCUUUAUAUACGUGGCCAGGGAGCACCCCAUAGACACACAAGUUGAUCUUUUAGCCGUGUGCGGUGCCCCCUCCGCAGUUACACACCUCAGUCAUAUCGUCGUAAUGCUUAGGCGAAGCCCUGUGCCGGUAACUUCAUCAUCACCGUCGCCACGCCGUCGUGCUGACGUAACUCUCCCUCGACCCUCUGCUGGAUCAAGAGUUCGAGGGAUGUCAUCGAGCUGAACGUGUGCUGAACUUGGAGGUGUCGUACGUUCGGUACUUGAUCGGUUGGAUCGCGAAGACGUUCAACUACAUCAACCGCGUUAACAUAACGCUUCCGCUUUCGGUCUACGAGGGUACGUGGACACACUCUCCCUCUCUCAUUGCUAUGCAUCUCCUAGAUAGAUCUUGCGUGAUCGUAGGAUUUUUUUUGAAAUACUGCGUUCCCCGACACCACAUUCUUGCCGGUGUAGAGCAUGCCGCUCCACAUUGGAGGCGGCUUUGGGUAGACGCGACCUCUCACUGCCUCUGCCAUUGAAGCGGCACACCGCACGCUUUACGCCCGCCUGAACACGCCUCCUCACUGCAUUCAAACGCCUUCAUUAAACUCCCAUGGAAGCCAAGGAACCAACUCCAGCCACAUGUCCGUUCACGAACGGGCCAACAUUAAACACAAUGCCGACCAAGCUCCUUGCGUCCAUCCUCUAUUUAAAUGAGGCCAGAUGCAGGGAAAGAAUCGCAGCACUCCGCCGCUCCCCAUCUCCUCCUUCCACCAAUUUCUCCACUCUUUUGAUGGCAUCCGACGAGCCGGGAGAGCAGUUCUCCUGCAUAAAAGCCGGCUGGGUGGCUCAACGAGCCUUCUGGAUAUGAGCGAGGCAGCUCGCUGCUCCUCCUACCUCACCUAGCCCGACGGAGCCAAUUGGCACCCCAAGCCGGUGCGUGGUUCAAUAACUCACCACUCAAAGCCAGCUCGCAGAGGAGUGGCGAGUUGCUCCAUCUCGGCAUGGUGGGGAUCGCACGGCAACACGAGCAUCGCCGCCUCCAGUGCCUGCGACCGCGCCAUCCGCUGUCGACGCAUGCGUAGCCGCGCCAUGCACACAGGAAAAGAAGCCGGCUACGCGGAUGUUGAUGAGGUGGCGGCCAUCACGUUCGCGCCCGCCUCCAUCAUCGGGAGAAGUAGAACACGGGAGGCCGCCGCGGCUUGUAUUCCAUGGAGGCCACCGCUGGCGUGUCUCGGCUUGUACAGCGGGUGACCUGUAAGCACCCGUCUGGGCUCCACGGAAGCACCUUUCCCUCCAACUGAAGCACUCUCUUUGCCACUCCGAUGAGCGGCGUACCCGGGCAUAGGGAAGAUACGGGAGAAGAAUAUGCCUUCGGGACUCCGGGUAGUCCGGUUAGCGGGCUACUGGACAUAGGGAAGACAAACUGAUCCGCCGCGUUCGGCCAAAGACUAGUCUAGUGUAUCCGCGUCGUGGGAGUGGAACUCCACGCGACUGUACGUGCACUAGUUAUAUCUUGUUAGUUAAAAUAUGUCCAAAAUGUAACCAUUUUCAUCAGGUUUGUAUGAAAUCCGUCAUGUAUAUAUGAAAUCCGUCUGAGUUCGCAUGAAUUUUAUCCGGUUUGUUAAAAAGAGUUUGAAAUAUAUGCUGCCAGCGUUGGAUGACGGCCUCCUGUAUUUAUUUCAGUGGACUGGUUCCUCCAUCCACGGAUAAAAUUUGUGGGUUGCCGUUGAAAAUGCCCUUAUUUGCGCAUGCGCAAGGGACACAUGGCGUACGAGGUAUUAUGAUCGCCUGGGGACUAGACUAUUAGAGCAACUCCAAAGGGCCGACCCAUUUCGUCCGCCUGCGUCCGUUUGGGUCGGCACGGACAAAAGUGGCGGCCCAAUGCGCCGACGCAUUUGCGGCCCAAAUUUGCACCCCAAAUGCGUCGGCGCGGACGCCGAACGGACGCUUCGCGCGCCUUCUCGCAGCCGCCGCGUCACCACAUGGCGGUCGUCCAACUACUCGCUGCCCACGCGGUCAGCUUAAUUUAUGACGAUGGGCCCACGCGUCAGCGACAGCGCUCGUCCUUUUUUAAGCCGACCAUGCGGCGGGGCCAUCCUCAUCCAAACUCGCCGUCCACAUCUGCCCACCUUUGCUCCCUCGUCGCCGCAAACCCUAGCCACCACAACCACAGCGAGAUGGGCCUCUUCUCCGGCGCCAGCGGCAGCAAGGCCAAGGGCAAGUCCCCCGCCACCCCUUUCCCCUCAGAGUUCCUCCCACCUCCGCCGGCGCCGGUGCCUCGUCGGCAGAGGCAGCGCGUGAACGUGCCAGUGCACCAGGCAGAGUGGCACUGGCAGCACCGCCAGCCUUUGCCGUAUCCGGACGUGAUGCUGUCGCACGACUGGCAUCUGGAUCCAGAUAGGAUCCCAGUGCCGGCGGCGCCGCGGACGGCUCGUGUUCACGCGGAGGAGGUGCGGCGCCUGCGGGCGCUGCUGACGCCGGAGCAGCGCCACGACCAGGCCUACGCAACCGACUCGCCCAACUGGGCGAGGUGGUUCGCCUUCGAGCACGAGGAGGCGAGGCGAUGGGGCGUGCGCGAGGUCGACCGGAGGUCGCCGCCACCGGGGCUCGUCGUCCGCGAGGAGGACCAGGCGGCGGAGGAUGCCUACAAGGCGGCCCUUGCGGCCGUCUACCGGGAGAGUGAGGAGGACGAGCGGCGCAGAGCGAAGGCGGCGAAGGCGUUACGAGGAGGCUCGGUUCGAGGCGGCAAUGGCGCAGGCUCUUGCCCUCUCCGCGGCGGGCGACAGCGUGGUGCCGCCGUUGGCCCCGCCGUCCCCCAUCAAGCCGGAGCCCGAGCCCAAGCCCAUCGCACGCUUCUCCUAGAGGGGAGUGGUGCGUGAGUGGGUGUCCGCGCCACCGGUUUGGCUGGGGACGACGCCGGCGCAGGAGCAGGCGUACCUCGAGAUGUGGCGCCUGCGCCGGUUGGCAGAGGAGCGCCGUCGCGGCGAGUACGAGGAGAUGCUCGAACGCGACCUCGAGGAGGAGCAGCGCGAGGCCGAGGAGGAGGCGCGCCAGGCCGCGGCUGCACAGGCAGCCGCACACCCCCGCCCCGGCACUGCCUGCGCCGGCACAGCCCGACAUGACGGCGCUCUGGAACACGACGUUCGCCUGGGCCAGGCCGGCGCCGACACUCAUCGACCUCACGGACCCCGAGGACGACGACGCCGCCGCCUAGGGCAGCGCGCCGCCUCGUAGUUUAGGCUGUUUUUAUUUAUUUUUAAAUGUAAAUGUGGACGCGUGGACUUUCGCCGGCCUUCAUGGCCGGCUUUAAUGUUUAAUUAAUGUUGUUUUUUAAUAUACAUACAUUCAUUUUUUUUGGCGCCGUCAAAAUGGGUCUCAGGCCAGCGUUGGGCGCACGCGCCAACCCAAAUGCGAAAGCGGGCAUCCUGUUCGUCUGGCCGAGCCAAACGAAGAAAAGCGGAUGAAAUCGCCGUCCAUUUGGAUCGGCCUGUUGGAGUCGCUCUUAAGCAGUAAAGAAAAGAUCACGGUCUCUGUCUCAUCUGUCACUCUGUCACUCUGUCACAUGUAUGCAUGCAUGUGCAUGUUCACACAGCUAGUCAGGUUAGGUAGGAAGUACUUCGCACCUGGAGAUGACAGCGGUUGGUACUUGCCAGUAGUUUGGAUUAUCCUUGAGCCGAUUCAAGUAUACGCGGACGACAAAUAUCCUGCUCUGAUGAUCGACAAGGCAAAUAUUCCGCUUUCUGCAUGCGACAAAAAGCUAGAGAAGUAGCGAGUGAAUAGUCACAUCACCUUCGGAAUUACUCGCUAAAGAAUAAUGAUAAAGGAGGCCAGCUGUCGAUCAGUAAUUCGACCCAGGAAGAACUUAUCCCUGUGCGCCCACAAUUUUUGGACUAUUAAAAUGUUGCAAAAUAAUUGUAAAAAAAAUUCAAAACAAACAUCAACCUGAAUACAUAGCUCAAGAAAUAAAAAUAAUAAUCAAUGUUGAUAGCCAUGUUAAUGAGCCGAAUUUGAACUAGCUACUUUAUUUUUUUGCGAGUAUAGCUAGGUUUGUCCUUUUUGUUUCUUGAGUUGUAUUUGAGUUUGGAUUGGAUUUUUUCUGACGAGCGAUAUUAUUUCAUUUAUGUAUUUGUACUAUAUUUGAAUUUCAAGACUUCUACGCUAAGGUUUCUGGAUUAGAGAAUACUGGCAAUACCUCACACAUGACUUUUAUGGUGAGAUUUUGCCUUUGAAGCUAUCGGUAUUUAUUUCGGAAAGAGUGUCGAUCAGUGAUAGGCACCUAGGAGUAUAGAAGUACCAAAUAGUGUAUGAUAUUUCAAUGGUAUAAGCUGGGUGGCAACUGUUUUUGCUAUUUCCAGGUCACCGUUGAGAACUGUUCAAUUAUACUAUAUAUACAAGUGUAGUUGGGAUGACACAAUAUUGAUCAUAUGGCUAGGAGCGGUUGAAAGAGAAAUAAUUAUUCUAAGUUGAGCAAACCACAUCAUUCCCUAAAAUAAUUGUUUAUCUAAAGCAAAAACUAAGUAUCACACUCUUUCUAAACUAUUUUUUUAUGUUUUUAAAAUAUAUGACAUUUUGGACAUUGCCGCAGUUUCCAAGGGGUAACUCUACAGUUAUGUUUACACGAAUGUGCCACUACAAUUUGUAAAAUUACAGAGUCAUGGAACCUGAUUUUUUUUGUUUAUUUGACGAAACUCGAUUUGAUGUUGAUAAUUAAAGUUUGAAAGUGUUGAUCCCAUCUGUUUUCUCAAAGUAAUCUAAUUUACAACAGAGGGACAGUUGUCUAGCUAUCUAGUAACUACUAGUAAUCCUUCACUGAACUAGGGAUUUAUUUAAUAAUUCCAAGAUGAGGUUCACUGUGUCAGUAUAUUCUGAACUAGCUUAUUAAUGGUUGUUUCCUUAUGGAAGUAACGGGAAGUUAGUGUUAACUGUUAUCUGACUCGGGACGGGAAGAAAUGAUCAAUUAGUUUGUUAAGUUGUGUGUACUGCUGUGUGUGGUAGAAUUAGUUUUCCAGUUCAAUAAGGUUCUCAAUAUCGUUUGCUUAGAGGAAUGGCUGGAAAUGAGCUCGACUUUAAAUUAAUAAAGCGAUAAUCGGCGACGUGUAUCACGUAGCAUGCUAGGGUUGCCAGCUAUCAUACAAGUGCUCUUUUUCUCCUCUCGCAAAGUUACAAAAGUAGGGAAGUCGAUACAAAUAGUGCAAUGCCAGUACCAAAGUAUAGCAUCACGAGAAUGAGACCAUUCAAACAGACUACAUGCAUAUAUACAAUUUCAAUUCAAGCACAGUGCAAAAAAUAGUAAAACUUGCAAAUGUAGUAUAUAGUAAUAAUGGAAAAUAGCAAAUCUUUUAUUUAGUCGGAGAUAGCGGUACAUCAUGAGCACUCUGGCAAUAACCAACUCAUCACAAACAUGUGACGAUUACGACAACACAUCAUGCACACACACACAACGAAAUCCUUACGCACGCAGGUAACAGUGCGUGCUUGUACGUACGUAGAACCUGGAGAAGUAGUACGUAGUUUCUCCGCAAUCGAAAUCCAGCCACACAUAAAAACCAGCAGAUGAUUAAGAAAUUAAAGCACACAACAAGUACGUAGUGGUACUUCAAAUAGCCAGUCAUGCAUGCAUGCGUGCGUGCAUGAGGUAUGGCGGAUGCAGGGUCCGGCCGGCUCAGUUGGGGCACUGGAAGCCGGAGGGGACGUUCUUGCCGCAGUUGUUGAGGACGAGGCUGAGGGCGAUGGGCAAGGUCAGGUUGAUGCCCAGAAGGUUGAGGUUCAGCGUCGUGCAGAGGCACAGCGCCGCCUCGAGGUCCGCCAGCCCCUGGAUCAGCGAGCAGCACGGCUGCACCGGCGGGCUCCCCAGGGUAAGGUUCAGCAGCCCGAGCACGUUCGCGCACACCCCCAGCUUCAGCGCGUCCAGAGGGCACUGGGUGCUGUUUCCGCCCCCACCGUUGCCGCCGCCACCAUUGCCACCGCCACCGUUUCCGCCGCCACCAUUCCCACCGCCACCGUUUCCGCCGCCACCGUUCCCNNNN
rnacentral:lncRNA from 1 species